AGCUCCAAUAGCGUAUAUUAAAGUUGUUGCGGUUAAAAAGCUCGUAGUUGGAUCUAGGUGAUGGGCUGGCAGUCCACCUUUUGCGGAUCCACUGCCGGUCCCGAAGCCAUCCAUCCGGCCGGUCCUCGGUGCUCUUUGCUGAGUGCCUUGGGUGACUGGCUUGGUUACUUGGAACAAAUUCGAGUGCAUAGUCCAGCUUGGAAUAAUGGAAUAGAACCUCGGUUCUAUUU
rnacentral:rRNA from 1 species